UACGAAGGGGGCUAGCGUUGUUCGGAUUACUGGGCGUAAAGCGCACGUAGGCGGAUCGAUCAGUCAGGGGUGAAAUCCCAGAGCUCAACUCUGGAACUGCCUUUGAUACUGUCGAUCUGGAGUAUGGAAGAGGUGAGUGGAAUUCCGAGUGUAGAGGUGAAAUUCGUAGAUAUUCGGAGGAACACCAGUAGGCGAAGGCGGCUGCCACUAC
rnacentral:rRNA from 1 species